rnacentral:misc_RNA from 1 species
CAGAUGCGAUAAGUAAUACGAAUUGCAGGUCUCUGUGAAUCAUCGAGUCUUUGAACGCACAUUGCGCCCCCUGGUAUUCCGGGGGGCAUGCCUGUCCGAGCGUCAUUGCUGCCCUCAAGCACGGCUUGUGUGUUGGGCUUCCGUCCCUGGCAACGGGGACGGGCCCAAAAGGCAGUGGCGGCACCAUGUCUGGUCCUCGAGCGUAUGGGGCUUUGUCACCCGCUCCCGUAGGUCCAGCUGGCAGCUAGCCUCGCAACCAAUCUUUUUAACCAGGUUGACCUCGGAUCAGGUAGGGAUACCCGCUGAACUUAAGC